rnacentral:rRNA from 1 species
ACGGGUGGUGUCGGCGUUUGCAUCUUUUAAGAAACUAAAUGACUCUCGGCAACGGAUAUCUCGGCUCUUGCAUCGAUGAAGAACGUAGCGAAAUGCGAUACUUGGUGUGAAUUGCAGAAUCCCGUGAACCAUCGAGUCUUUGAACGCAAGUUGCGCCUGAAGCCA